AACGAACGCUGGCGGCAUGCCUAACACAUGCAAGUCGAACGAGACCUUCGGGUCUAGUGGCGCACGGGUGCGUAACGCGUGGGAACCUGCCCUUAGGUUCGGAAUAACUCCCCGAAAGGGGUGCUAAUACCGGAUCAUGUCUUCUGACCAAAGAUUUAUCGCCUUUGGAUGGGCCCGCGUUGGAUUAGCUAGUUGUUAGGGUAAAAGCCUACCAAGGCGACGAUCCAUAGAUGGUCUGAGAGGAUGAUCAGCCACACUGGCACUGAGACACGGCCCAGACUCCUACGGGAGGCAGCAGUGGGGAAUAGUGGACAAUGGGCGAAAGCCUGAUCCAGCAAUGCCGCGUGAGUGAUGAAGGCCUUAGGGUUGUAAAGCUCUUUUAACCGGGAUGAUAAUGACAGUACCGAGAGAAUAAGCUACGGCUAACUACGUG
rnacentral:rRNA from 1 species